UACGUAGGGGGCUAGCGUUGUCCGGAUUUAUUGGGCGUAAAGAGCGUGUAGGCGGCCAGGUAGGUCUGCUGUGAAAACUCGAGGCUUAACCUCGAGAUGUCGGCGGAAACCAUCUGGCUAGAGUCCGGAAGAGGAGAGUGGAAUUCCUGGUGUAGCGGUGAAAUGCGCAGAUAUCAGGAAGAACACCCGUGGCGAAGGCGGCUCUCUGGGACGAUACUGACGCUGAGACGCGAAAGCGUGGGGAGCGAACAGG
rnacentral:rRNA from 1 species